UACGAAGGUCCCGAGCGUUGUUCGGAUUCACUGGGCGUAAAGGGUGCGUAGGUGGUUGGGUAAGUUUGAUGUGAAAGCUCAGGGCUUAACCCUGAAAUGGCAUUGAAUACUACUUAACUGGAGGUUUGGAGGGGGGACUGGAAUUCUUGGUGUAGCAGUGAAAUGCGUAGAUAUCAAGAGGAACACCAGUGGCGAAGGCGAGUCCCUGGACAACACCUGACACUGAGGCACGAAAGCUAGGGGAGCAAACAGG
rnacentral:rRNA from 1 species